UUUUGAUCUUAAUCAUAACUUAAUAACUUUUCUGUCACGGCGCUGCUGAGGUCUGGACUGUGAUUGGUCAGAAGGUGGUGAUGAGGUCUGGAUUGUGAUUGGUCAGAAGGUGGUGAUGAGGUCUGGAUUGUGAUUGGUCAGAAGGUGGUGAUGAGUUCUGGACUGUGAUUGGUCAGAAGGUGGUGAUGAGUUCUGGAUUGUGAUUGGUCAGAAGGUGGUGAUGAGUUCUGGAUUGUGAUUGGUCAGAAGGUGGUGAUGAGUUCUGGACUGUGAUUGGUCAGAAGGUGGUGAUGAGGUCUGGAUUGUGAUUGGUCAGAAGGUGGUGAUGAGGUCUGGAUUGUGAUUGGUCAGAAGGUGGUGAUGAGUUCUGGACUGUGAUUGGUCAGAAGGUGGUGAUGAGUUCUGGACUGUGAUUGGUCAGAAGGUGGUGAUGAGUUCUGG
ensembl:lncRNA